GGAUGUGAGGGCCAUCUGGCUGUGACAUCUGUCACCUCACUGAUGUCCAGAGUUGAUUUGGCUGAUCUGGCUGGCUAGGAAGGUGUCCCCUUCCUUCCUCACCAUUCCAUGUACGUCCCUCCUGAAGUUGUGCAUUCUGUUGAAGGAGAUGACCACCCCCGAUAGAGGAGGAUGGUUUCCUCAGUCAAAGGUAUACAAGUAGCUGCGCUCCCCUGCUAGAACCCCCGAACACGCUCUAACAGAUGCCAAAGCCCUGUUUCAGCAUUGCUGAAAAGUUCAAGUUUAAAGUCUCCUCUGAGAUUUAAUGCAAACUCUU
rfam:Fukomys damarensis contig73659, whole genome shotgun sequence.